rnacentral:lncRNA from 1 species
CCCGGCUAAACACAUUUUUAGACUGUAAAUAUGACUUAUUUAUUUCUUACAGCUACUUCAAUUUCAACGUUUGUGGAUAGGUGUUUCAUUGACAGCCAUACCACAUCUCCUUUUGCUUAUUUUUGUUGUAUAUAUUUUUUUUCAUUUUCCUUGUCUUUUAAAAAUAUUAUUCCAUUAUAAAUUUUAUUUGAUGCCGAAAAUAAGAAUACGAAGAGUUAUU